ACUCUGUAGGUGCCCCGGGGCACAGGCAAGCGGACGAGCCAGUUAUCCCUCAGAGCUCCUGCUGCCUCGCCCGCUUUCUCUCGGAAACGUGAAGUGUGGCCUCAGCUGAAAGUGAGGUGGGCCUCAUUCAAUCAGUUGAAUUCUUCAAGAGAGAAAAACUGAAGUCCCUUAGAAGGAAAGAGUUCUGCCUUCAGACUGUCUUUGAACUUAAGACUGUAGCGUCGACUCCUGCCGGAAUUUCCAGCCUGCUGGCCAGCUCUGCAGAUUCACACUUGCCAGCCUCCACAAUCGCAGCUGAGGCGGAGGAACCCUAAGGGCUCAUUGAGAUCAUGGAUUUGCCCUUCUAUGCAUUGAUGGAGCACCUGCUGCCCACAGCGUCUGUAUUUGGUGCUGGGAUGCUGAGGACACUGAGAUCUUCAAACAGAGGCUGCCACUCUAAGCAAACAGAUCCCGAGCCCUGGACUCUGAAGCUUGGGCCCAGUUCUCCUUUUCUCCGGGUUUCAGAUCCCACUGUGAAGUGAGGGGGCCCUUCUGAUUCAGGACCCGGGGAAGCCAGGGGCAUGAGCAUCGGUGCCUCUUCUCUAUUUCAAGGACCCUUCUGGGUGUAAAGUUCUCUGAGAUGCCUUACAUGGAUUCCCACCACUGCAAGAUAACCAUCGUAUGUAAAGUGUUAUGACCAGCAGAGCGUAAUUGAAGUGCAUUCCAGAGGGAAAGACAGCGGCUCAGAUGAGGCUUCAGGCUUGACCAAAUCUGACUGGCUGGCUGCCGGAGACACUGCUACCCAUCGGCCCUUAAUAAAUGGCCUCAUUUGAUCAUCAUGUGAUCUUCAGAAGCUGGGCUUGAUUAUCCUUGCCAAACAAAAUGCUGAAACCAAAAAUCUGAAAGUAAAUCAAAGGUUUCGCCAUCAUGUAAACCCUUGGGCGACAGAGUCUACCUGUCUCCCCCUGAUAUUGUUCUAUGAGAUUUCGAUGCUAUCUUCAUUGCCAGCAGCCCUGACAAAGAUGCACUGCAGACGGAUAGCCUCUCAGGUCCUUUGGAAGAUGAGGAUGAAGCUCUUGUGAAUGGAAUUCGUGACCUUAUAGAAGAAGCCCAAGAGAGCUGCCUUGUCCUUUUUACCACGUGAGGACACAGCAAGAAGGUGCCGUCUGUGAACCAGGAAGCAAGCUCUCACUAGAUUUGGAAUCUGCCGAUGCCUCCGUCUUGGACUUCCCAGCCUCUGGGACAGGGAAGGAGUGACAGCUUCCAAACUGUUGAUCUGUCAGUGCUGAAACCAGCAGGUCCCUUCAGCGAGGGCCAAAUGAGCGGAACUCUCCAGGAUACGUCUGAUUUAUAUGAUGCCCUCUCUGGGUCAGCAGCUUCAGUCAUGAAAACCUGCAAAACUGAAGCGCCCUUUGGCCAGCUGCUGGUUCUGCGACAUCACAGGGAGUCUGGCAUCCACACACCAAUUCUAGGCAAGGAAGCAAAGGAGCUUGCUCUUCAGCUUCUGUGGGCCCAUUUGUGAGUUUGAGCGGGUGCAGCCUCUCCUUGAAACAGAGGCCAGGUCCAUGGCAUGAGUCUUUUGUUCAGACCAAUGCCCCACUGGAGGGUCUGGGAGCUGCCGAGCCAGAUUCCUGGGUGUGCCUGGGUGCUGUACCCGAAACUGCAGGGCCUGGGGCACCUGCCCUGCUCUCAUUGUUACUAGCUGGUUUAUUCUCAGUGGAGGGUUGUAAUUUAAUUCCUGUAGUUCUGCAGUACAUGGAGUUGGGAAUUAUAUCCUUCCUCUGUGUUUUCAUUACACUGACCUUCCUGCUUCAUUGCUCCUGAGACGGGAACCUCACCUGCCUGGCCUUUGUCUCCUUCUUCCCCAGAACCUCCCGAGACCUCUCAUCUGCUGAUUUGACAUGAAACCCCCUGCCCACCCCAGCUUGGCCCCAGCAGAUGUCUGGGCAGAGCCGUUACCCAGACCUCUGAUUUUUCCCAGGCUGUUUGCCCCUGAAGGUUCUUUUUUCUCUACCCACCACCCCGACCCUGGCGGCUGGCUCAGGUCAGCCACAGGAACAGCCAUAUCUUUCCUGCAGCCUCACAACAGCUUCAGUGCCUUUCUGGUCCCACAAUCUUACCCGUGUCUUAUUGCCCCAUCCUCUCCCACCUUGGCUGCAGCUUGCAGAAGAGAGACCUGGUUAGGAGUCAGGCAAACCCUGGCUCCCAGCUGCUUCUGAUGUGACUUUAGUGAAGUGGCUAGACCUCUCUGAACCCUAAAUUCCUAAUCCCCAAAUCCAAGAUCUCUACAGUUGAGGAUGAUAUGACUUCACAGGGCUGUCAUGAGGACUAGAUCCAACGGACGGAAGCCUUGCUGCAUGGUCGGUGUGUGCAUCGAUAAAGGUGGCUCAGGCCAGCUCCCUCCCCCACGCCUGGCUCAGCGCAUAUUUUGCCUCGGAGUGUCCAGCCUUUACUCUCUCCUCUCGUGUGAGCUGGAACUGUCCCAGCAAGUGAUGAGCAAGUUCAGCGCUCUGCCUACCUGUGUGGAUUCUGAGUAGCAUGGCACACCCGCUCCCCACCCACACGUGUGGCUCACUCUGGGCAUAGGGAGACUCGGGCAACCUGGUCCCUGGUCUGAGUCCAACCAAGGGUGGUGUGUUUGCAUCUGAUGACAUUGCUACAAAUCUCUUCUGGCUCAAUUGAGGACGUCCUCCUCAAAUUGCCCUUCCAACUUUAUUUCCAUAGUUGUCUUCUCCAUUUGGUUUCCAACAUGCAUACCUUUCCAGGCUGCCUCACAGGUGCAUCAGGUGAGAGCCCCGGGAGAGGCCAGCAGAGGAGGCCUGGAAGCACCCACAGCCACGUGAGUGUGGAGAAUGGAGGGUUAAAGCGAAGAGUUGCUAACAGUCUCAGCCACUUUAUUCUUUUUUGUUGUUGUUUGCUUCUUUGUUUGUUUGUUUUGAGAUGCAGUUUCGCUCUUGUUGCCCAGGGUGGAGUGCAAUGGCGCCGUCUCAGCUCACUUCGACCUCUGCCUCCCGUGUUCAAGCAAUUCUCCUGCUUCGUAGCUGGGAUUACAGGUGCGCACCAUCACACCUGGCUGAUUUUGUAUUUUUAGUAGAGACAGAGUUUCCCCAUGUUGGCCAGGCUGGUCUCAACUCCUGACCUCAGGUGAUCCACCUGCCUCAGCCUUGCAAAGUGCUGGGAUUACAGGCGUGAGUCUCUGCAUCCAGCUCAGCCACUUUAUUCUAAUACAUAUCUCCUAGAAAGUCCCAUGGGUCUUUGAAGGAAGACAUUGUGUAUCAGUUGCUGAGACACCAGGCUUCCUCUUUCUCUCUUCCCUCACUCUCAGAUACCUAUAUUUUCCCUCCUUCUUAGGUCAUUUCGCAGGAAUAAUGCCUGUGUGGAAUCCUCUUUGAAAAACACUGGCUUCAAUUCCUGGGAUACCAUGGCGAAGUUCAAUGUAUACCUACAUGCUCCCCAGCCAGGGAGGUUGUGACUCUGCAGGGUUGUGAGGCUCAGGCUGGGGCCAGUGCCUGCUCACCUUCCUCUUGGUUCCCUAAGAAGCCUCCCGUCAACCUGCAGCCUGAUGUGGGAAUGGCACUGACCAAUGGCUGGAUGGGGAGGAAGAAAUGGUGGCUGUCCUCAUGGAGGACUCAGUGUGGAGUUGGAGGUGUCAGGAGAGGGGUCCUCGGCAAGGGAUUCCAUGACUCCCAUGGCACAGCGUCUUCUCCUGCACACGGCUUCUUGUCAGCACACGUCUAAUGCCUCCUUGUUUCCAAAGUACCUUGUAUAGUGUCUGUUAUGGUGUAAGCAUUUAGCAAAUGUUCAAUGAAAGAAUAGAAAUCAUAUCUUGGAAUUUUGAGAAAUACUGUCUUGGGAACGAUAGUGAGCAGAUAGUAUAAUUAAAACCAGAUGCCAAGGAGAUUUUCUAACUGUCUCAGGGCAUGACAUUCCCAUCAUUUAUUUGGUAAAAAUUACUCUCUGCUCCAUCUUGAAGCCAGCUCUUUCCUGGCACUGGAAACGCAAUCUAAAUAGCGUUUAAUUCCAGGGAAGCUUUUAUCAAUUCCUGCUCAUGUUCCAACUUGACUUCAGGCCAACCUGGAUUGGCCCAAUUUGCUGCAAGUCUGUCUCGGCUCAAGGCAGCCUCGUGGGGCAGUUGGGAUUCUUGCUGCCUUCACAAGCCACAGCCAGAACAUGGAAUAGGCAACCUCACAGCACCGUUUUGAUGUGAGCUGCUGGAUACCAGACCAGGCUCCUUCCCUUGUGUCUGCUUUACCUGUAGGUCUACCUCCAAGGGUGGAGGCUGGGACCCUACUUGGAAGGCAGGAACACCUGUCCAGCUGGGAGAGGAUGAUGGUGGGGCCAGGCUCUGGCAGCUGAGGUGGAGAGAAGGAAACUGACUUGGGAUAUUUUCAGGGAAAGAGCACCAGGACCUGCUGAUAUUGGACAUGAUGGUGAGGGGAGAAGGCAGAGAAGGACCAGGACCUGCUGAUAUUGGAGGUGAUGGUAAGAGGAGAAGGCAGAGAAGGUGCAGGCAAGUGAGGAACCACAGAUCUCUGUUGGGCUGGGCCAGCUGGAUAGCCAUGGCUGCCGUGCACAGCUUUAUCACUGGAACUGCAAGGGAGGAGAGGAUCUUUCAUAAAAGGGGGCAGCUCCCUGGGCUAUAAAAGGCAAGGCUGCCAGGGUGAGCACAGGAGAGGCAAUCAGGUGGGUUUGGGGUGAAAAGGGAGGCAGCUGCUGUUUUCUCGGGAAGGGUGAGAUGUUGCUGGGCUGAGGAGGUCAGGGAGGGUGUGAAAUAGCUUUUCUGCACAAAGGAGAGGGAAACGUUUAACAAAUACAUUAGGAUUGCUGGGGGUUUCGCCUGCCUGUUUGAGGACUCGUGAGUCCAGCCAGCGCAGUAGCGUGUGUCACUGUGAGCACAUUCAGCAGUUGGGGAGGGGCAGGGCAGAAGGAGAAAGGGGCUUUAGUGGGUCUGAGGAAAUGGGAGGUGGGACAGGGACUCAUUAGAGGGUUUCUAAUGAUGGUCCUGGAGUCUAAUUGAAGCAAAGGGCGAAGCAGGACAUAAGGGAGAGACAGGUCUGGAAAAAGUGGUUGAUGGUCAAUUGAUGCCACACCAAAAUGAAAAGAGCUUGAUUUUGGCCAUGAAGAUGAUGAAAUGGGGGCAUUACAAGAAGGAUGUGGGGAGAGAGGUGGUGAGCUGAGGCUGACAGGCUCUUGCAAUUCUGAAGACAAGAUUGCCCAAGAUAUGAUGUAGGAGGGCAUGGGGGUAAGGAAGACAUGGCAGGUGGGGAGAGGAGAGGCCGGUCCUCGGGGAUGCUGAUGUCAGGGAGGACGAUGAAGGCAGACAUGAGGCCAAGGUGGGAAGGUGGGUUCAUGUCUUUAACAAAUGCGGGAGGCAACCAGGCUCUCAGAGGAUGACAGCAGAUGACACCACACACAAUCAGAGGGGCUGGGGUUUUUGAGCUAGGAAGAAAAUCGCAAAAGUAUCAAGGAACACUGGUCUGAAUCCCAGGCCUGUGCUGCAGGCAUGUGAGUGAAAUUGUCCCAAAUGGACAGGACACGGGGUGGAGGCGUUCUCAGCUGGAUCUCAAAGCAGAAGAAAGUGAGACUAUCCAGAGAGGAAGUUGCGAUACAGGAGGUUUAGACAGGAGGCAGUGAUUAGGGAGGGCACAGCAGGAGGGAUUUUCAUGCAGCAGGAGUGUGGGAAGCACCCUGCCAUCUCAGUUGGGAUCUCUAGCUUGCUAUAUUCUAAGAGUAGGGGUGAAACAGAUGUAGCCUGAGCUUUACAGAGAUGGCAGCUCAUUCUUUGAACAUCUCAGUCCAUGUUUGGAUUAAAGUGAUCUGUUGGCUCCAUUUAUCUAAAAGAGGAUACAGAACUCUCCUCAGAGGAAGGCAGUAGCAGCCAGAGUCUCAGGAACUUUAAUGGGCAUUGUUCAGCUUUCAACAGAAAGGAAGCAUGCAUAUGAGACAGGGCAAAGGGAACAAACAGAAAUCAAACUCAGACCCACAGAUGACCCAGAUAUCAGAGAUGGUUGACACUGUUGUUAAAAUAAUUGUGAUUAACACGUUAAAGUAUUAUUUGAAGAAAUACUUUAAAUAAGUAUUUAAAGUGAAAUCCACAAAAAAGAAUCCAAUGGGAUGGUGGGCAAAGGCAGGAUAACAACUUCCCAAAGGUGCCCAUGUCCUGGCACUCAGAACGUGUGAAUGGGCUAUGUCACAUGGCGAGAGGUACUUAAGAUUGCAGAUGGAAGAAAAACUGCUAACAAGCUGAUCACAACUUAAGGACAUUAUCCUUAAUUUAGGUAAUUACACAGUUCCUUAAAUGUGGAGGAGGGAGAAAGAAGAAUUACUGUCAGAGUGAUGUGAUAUAAGAAAUACUUGAACGGCUAUUAUUAGCUUUGAAGAUAGAACUGGUUCAUGAGCCAAAUAAUGCAGGCAGGCUAUUAAAGCCAAAAAAUGCAGCAAAUCCAAGUCUCUCCUAGAGACUGUAGACACAAACAUAUCCCUGCCAAUACCUUGAUUUUAGCCCCGUCAGAUCCACUUUGGACUUUUCUCCUCAAGUAUAUAAGAUAAUAAAUUUGUGUUGUUUUAAGCUGCUAAGUUUGGGGAAAUUUGGAGUAACAGCAAUUCAAAAAAAUACAGAUUUUGGUACUUGAAGGUGUGGUUCUGCCAUAACAAAGGACUAAAAAUGUGAAAUGGGUAAUCCCAGCACUUUGGGAGGCUGAGGCGGGUGGAUCACAAGGUCAGGAGAUUGAGGCCAGCCUGGCCAACAUGGUGAAACGCUGUCUCUACUAAAAAUACAAAAAAUUAGCCAGGCGUGGUGGUGGGUGACUAUAGUCCCAGCUACUCGGGAGGCUGAGGCAGGAGAAUCUCUUGAACCCGGGAGGUGGAGCUUGCAGUGAGCCGAGAUUGCACCACUUCACUCCAGCCUGGGCAAGAGAGCCAGACUCCAUCUCAAAAAAAAAAAAAAAAAAAAAGUGAAAUGGCUCUGGAAUUGGACAGUAGGGAAAGGCUGGAGGAAUGUUGAGGACAUGAUAGAAAAAGCUGAGAUUUCCUUGGACAGUCUGUUGUAGAAACAUGGAUGCUAAGGGUGACCUUAGUCAAGUCUCAAAAAGAAAUGAGCAUGGUAGAGAAAGCCCUUAUCGUUCUAGAGGAGAAGAAAUCACCAUGCAUACCAAGUAGGUAGAAAUAUGGACAUUGAAGGCGUGGCUGGGGAGAACUCACAAGGACAUGAGAAGGACAUUAAGGAAUAUAAGGAAAGGCCGCCUUUGUCAAAUAGCAGCAGGGAGCUUAGCUGAAUUGUGUUCUGCAAUUGUGUGGAGAGCAAAACGUUGGACAAUGAACUUAGAUAUUUAACUGAAGAGGUUUCCAAGUAAAGUGUUGAUGGUGCAGUCGUUUUUGUUUGUUUUUUUUUCUUGCUACUUACACUAAAAUGUGAAAGGAAAAAGGAUUGAUUGAAGCAAGGGCUGUUAAGCAAAAAGGAACCAAGACUUGCUGUUUUGCGGACUUCUCAGGCUACUGAGAUUGCAAAUCGUGCUUAAAUUAAGAGAUUCAGGAAAUGUCAGAACAGCCCUCUCUGCCAAGAGCCACAGGUGUGGCUGAAUAAAAUUUGUGCUAGUGGCUUUCAGGAAUCAAAGGUCAGAGUAUUUGGUUACACUGGAGGCUCUUCGAAGAGAUUAGGCAUGUGACUCCCGGAUUCCCCUCAGCCAUCUCAGCCAAAGCCAGAAAUAGAGAUGAUUAUCUGGGGAAGAUCUGCAGAGGAGCCCAUUGUCUAAUGGAGUUAAUCCCCAUGGAGAGCUACAAGGGCCUUAAAAAUAUUCUACUGGCAGGAAAGCUGCCUGCCAGCUUGUACCAAAGGGUCAAAAGAAAGAAGGCUAUUGGACCCCAAAGAUUCCACAGGCAUAAAACUAGCUCUAAGUGCUACCCGGCUGCAAACAUAUGCUUCCUUUUGUUUAAAAAGAAGGAUGGUUUCUGAGGGUGAAGCUGCAUGCCCAGAGGACAAAGUUGUGAGUCACGGAAAUCAUUCCCAUGCCGUUUGAAACUCAAAUGGAGUUCUUGGAUUGCAAAAUUGCUUGGGACCAGGGACUUCUGUCUUCCUUUCCAUUUUUUUUUCCUUUUUGAAUGGAAAUAUCUAUAGCUGUGACUCUAUCCUUGUCUCACUAUUUUAUUUAGAGCACAAGAACAUGUUUCUUGACUUUCACAGAUCAGGAAUAAUUUUGACACAAGAUGGGUGUAUGCAGACCUUCAUCUUAAAUGUUAAAUUUUUUAUAUGCAAGGAUUUAGGACUUGUGCACUGAUGAGAUUUAGAUACAAUUUUGAACUUUGAGUUAAUGCUGUAAUGAGAUGAGGCUUUGGUGAUCCUAAGAUAGAAUAGACGUGUUUUCCCGGUGGAACACAUGUGAAUCUUUAGAGGCCAGAGGGCAGAUUGUGUCAGGCAGGACAGUGCCUCCCUCCUGCAAAAGAUGCCCACAUUCAAUCCAUGAAUAUGUGAUGUUACAUUUAAAAAAUC
rnacentral:lncRNA from 1 species